rnacentral:rRNA from 1 species
CUACGGGGGGCAGCAGUGAGGAAUAUUGCACAAUGGGGGAAACCCUGAUGCAGCAACGCCGCGUGGAGGAUGACGCAUUUCGGUGUGUAAACUCCUUUUAUCAGAGAAGAAAAUGACGGUAUCUGAUGAAUAAGCUCCGGCUAACUCCGUGCCAGCAGCCGCGGUAAUACGGAGGGAGCAAGCGUUAUUCGGAAUCACUGGGCGUAAAGGACGCGUAGGCGGGUUUUUAAGUCAGGUGUAAAAUCCUAUGGCUCAACCAUAGAACUGCACUUGAAACUGGGGACCUAGAGUAUGGAAGGGGCAGGUGGAAUUAGUGGUGUAGGGGUAAAAUCCGUAGAUAUCACUAGGAAUACCGAAAGCGAAGGCGACCUGCUGGGACAUUACUGACGCUGAGGCGUGAAAGCGUGGGGAGCAAACAGGAUUAGAUACCCGCGUAGUC